CAGAAAUAUUUUACAGGUCUUGGUUUUGGGACACAUUCUUGAUAUAUACAAGGUUUGAUCAAAAUCUGAGAGAGUAACAACAACCUAGACUGACAGGAUGUUGGG